AUGUUUCCUGUUCUUCUGUUGCUUCUGUUGCCAUAUGUACUCCAAGCAGCAUCAGGGAGAGCAUUCAGCAAUAGGACUGAUGUGGAUUCCUUGCUGGCACUAAAGGCAAGCCUAAGAAAUCAGAAUGGUGUCCUAGCUGCAUGGAACACAACGACUGGUUACUGCCAGUGGCCAGGCGUCAGUUGCAGCCUUAAGCACAAGCACAGGGUCACAGUGCUUAACCUCUCUUCAGAGGGCCUUGGUGGCACGAUCGCACCCUCCAUUGGGAACCUCUCAUUCUUGAGAAUUCUAGACCUCAGCAACAACAAUUUGCAAGGUGGAAUAAUUUCCGCAAUUGGUCGCCUGUCUCGCCUACGACAUCUUGUUUUAUCCAACAACUCACUUCAUGGUGAUGUAAACGCUGGAUUGAAGAAUUGCACCAGCCUUGAAAGAAUCAACAUUGGUUCAAACAGUUUGACUGGAGAAAUCCCUGCUUGGCUCGGAUACUUGUCAAGUCUCAAGUUCAUAGACCUGAGCAUAAACAAGUUCACUGGAAUAAUCCCGUCAUCACUUACCAAUCUCUCAGAAGUGCAAGCAAUUGAUUUCACCACAAACCAACUCGAGGGUGUCAUCCCUGAGGGCCUUGGUAGGCUCGGCAACCUUGUCUCGAUAAGCCUGCCAGAUAAUCACCUCUCAGGCACCAUCCCUACAACUUUGUUCAACCUUUCCACUCUAAUAACCUUGUCUGUGGAAGGAAAUAAUUUGGGCGGUAAACUACCCUCGGACUUUGGGGAUCACCUCCCAAAUCUUGAGCACCUAUUCCUCGGUGCUAACCACUUUAUAGGAAACCUUCCAGCUUCCCUUGUGAACUCAACUAAGAUAUAUGACCUAGAUGUCUCCUUCAACAACUUCACCGGAACAUUGCCACCAGAGAUUGGAAUUCUCUGCCCAGCCGACCUCAGCCUUGGAGUAAAUCAGUUCAUGGCUGCUACUGUGCAGGACUGGGAGUUUAUGACAUUGUUGACAAACUGUACACGCCUCCGUAUAUUAAACCUCCAGUUGAACAUGCUAGGUGGCAUGCUGCCUAGCUCAGUUGCCAAUCUAUCAAGUCAACUCCAAGUGCUAUAUGUUGGAGCCAAUGAGAUUUCUGGAAAGAUACCAUUUGGCAUAGGCAAUCUUGUUGGGCUAAAUCGAUUGCAGCUAGCUCGUAACCAAUUUACUGGCGCCUUGCCUGACACCAUAGGGAGGCUAUAUUCACUAAAAACCCUGCAGUUGCAUAGUAACCUACUGACAGGCUUCAUGCCAUCCUCCCUUGGGAACUUGACGCAACUACUAAGGCUGUACACAGAUAACAACACGUUUGAGGGGCCAUUUCCAGCAAGCCUCGGGAGACUACAAGAGCUGAAUAUAGGAUUAUUUUCAAACAAUAAGUUCACAGGUCCAUUGCCUAAAGACAUCUUCAACCUAUCGGCCCUGUCAGACGUCCUAGAUUUGUCGAGCAAUUACUUUGUUGGACCUCUUCCACCUGAAGUAGGCGGCUUGACAAAUCUUGCACGCCUGUACUUAUCACAGAACAACUUGUCAGGGCCCCUCCCUAAUGCACUCAGCAAGUGCCAAAGCUUGACAGAACUCAGGCUGGACGACAACUCCUUUGAUAGUAGCAUUCCCUCAUCUAUCAGCAGCAUGCGAGGCCUGAUGUUGCUAAACCUUACAAAGAACACACUCUCAGGUGUGAUUCCUCGGGAUUUAGGGCUAAUGGGUGGCCUUGAAGAGUUAUACCUAGCACGUAACAACUUGUCUGGUAAUAUCCCAGAAAGCUUGGAAAAUGUGACAUCAUUGUACCAGUUAGACCUGUCCUUCAACCAUCUGGAUGGCAAAGUUCCAUCAUGGGGAGUGUUCAGUAAUGCAUCUGGUUUUUUCUUUGGUGGGAAUUUGGGGCUCUGUGGUGGUAUAUCAGAGUUACAUUUGCCCCCAUGCCAGCCAGAAUCCGUGGGACAUGGCUUGAGCAAACGCCAUUUGACUAUCACCCUAGUUACCGCAACUGCUGGCAUAAUUCUGGGUUUGAGCUUGAUGCUUGUUUUCUUCACAAUGAGAAAGAAAUCAAAAGCUCGGUCUACAACCAUAGGAGGAUUCCAGUUGAUGGAUGACAAUUAUCCCAGAGUAACUUAUGCUGAAUUGGUCCAAGGAACAAGUGGCUUUGCAGCAGACAAUUUGCUUGGCAGAGGAAGGUAUGGAUCGGUGUAUAAGUGUUGUCUGCUGCUAAAAAAUAUGAUGACCACAGUAGCUGUAAAGGUUUUUGAUCUUCAACAGUCUGGCUCUUCCAAAAGCUUUCAAGGUGAGUGUGAGGCACUUAGUAAGAUCCGCCAUCGCAAUUUGAUUAGUCUCGUGACUUGUUGUUCAAGCUCUGACUCGAACCAAAACGACUUCAAAGCCAUUGUGUUCGAGUUCAUGCCUAAUGGGAGCCUAGAUAGGUGGUUGCACAUGGAUGUACAUGUAUCACAUCAACUCCAAGGAUUGACACUGAUGAAGAGAUUAAAUAUUGCAGUUGAUAUUGCUGACGCAAUAGAUUAUUUGCACAACAACUGUGAACCACCAAUAAUUCACUGUGACUUGAAGCCAAGCAACAUUCUUCUCAAUGAGGAUUUAGUUGCUCAUGUUGGGGACUUUGGACUUGCAAAGAUUCUUUCUGAACCAGCAGCUGAGCAACUGAUAAAUUCAAAGAGCACAGUUGGAAUAAGAGGAACAAUUGGAUACGUCGCUCCAGAAUAUGGCGAAGGUGGUCAAGUUUCUUCAUGUGGAGAUGUAUACAGCUUUGGAAUUGUCAUCCUCGAGUUGUUUACAGGCAUGGCACCUACUCAUGACAUGUUCAGAGACGGGUUGACCCUGCAGAAACAUGCCGAGAAUGCAUUUCCAGGGAUGCUAAUGCAGAUUGUUGAUCCAGUCCUGCUGGCCACUUAUGUUUCCAAUGCUAAUAGUUUGCAGGGUGGAAUCAAUACAGUGGAACAUGGCAACAACGCCAUACCCUCUGUCAUGAAGGUUGCGCUAUCAUGCAGCAAGCAUGCACCGACAGAGAGAAUGUGCAUCAAAGAUGCUGCUACAGCAAUUCACAGGAUAAGGGAUGAAUAUACUAAAGUAAUCCAAAAUGAGGGAGUUGUUAAUGCUGCCUAUACUGCAAGGCAUUUUGCUGAAACAUCCAGGGCAGCCCCUUGA
rnacentral:rRNA from 1 species